GUGAGUGGCAGACGGGUGAGUAACGCGUGGGAANCCUUCCCUGUGGUACGGAAUAGCUCCGGGAAACUGGAAUUAAUACCGUAUACGCCCUUCGGGGGAAAGAUUUAUCGCCAUAGGAUGGGCCCGCGUCGGAUUAGCUAGUUGGUAAGGUAACGGCUUACCAAGGCAACGAUCCGUAGCUGGUCUUAGAGGAUGAUCAGCCACACUGGGACUGAGACUCGGCCCAGACUCCUACGGGAGGCAGCAGUGGGGAGUAUUGGACAAUGGGCGAAAGCCUGAUCCAGCCAUGCCGCGUGAGUGACGAAGGCCUUAGGGUUGUAAAACUCUUUUGGUAGGGACGAUAAUGACGGUACCUACAGAAUAAGCCCCGGCUAACUUCGUGCCAGCAGCCGCGGUAAUACGAAGGGGGCUAGCGUUGUUCGGAAUCACUGGGCGUAAAGCGCACGUAGGCGGACUGGUCAGUUGGGGGUGAAAUCCCAGGGCUCAACCCUGGAACUGCCUCCAAUACUGCCAGUCUUGAGUCCGAGAGAGGUGAGUGGAAUUCCUAGUGUAGAGGUGAAAUUCGUAGAUAUUAGGAAGAACACCAGUGGCGAAGGCGGCUCACUGGCUCGGUACUGACGCUGAGGUGCGAAAGCGUGGGGGGCAAACAGGAUUAGAUACCCUGGUAGUCCACGCCGUAAACGAUGAGUGCUAGCCGUCGGGUAGCUUGCUAUUCGGUGGCGCAGCUAACGCAUUAAGCACUCCGCCUGGGGAGUACGGCCGCAAGGUUAAAACUCAAAGGAAUUUUNAGANGGNGA
rnacentral:rRNA from 1 species